GACGAGGGGUCCAAGCGUUGCUCGGAAUCAUUGGGCGUAAAGCGGGUGUAGGUGGCUUUGUAAGUCAGGAGUGAAAGCCCAGGGCUUAACCCUGGAAGUGCUUUUGAUACUGCAAAGCUUGAGUGUGGGAGAGGAUCGUGGAAUUCCAGGUGUAGUGGUGAAAUACGUAGAUAUCUGGAGGAACACCGGUGGCGAAGGCGGCGAUCUGGCCCAACACUGACACUCAGACCCGAAAGUGCGGGGAUCAAACAGG
rnacentral:rRNA from 1 species